rnacentral:rRNA from 1 species
GAUGAACGCUGGCGGCGUGCUUAACACAUGCAAGUCGAACGGAGAAAGGGUAGCUUGCUAUCUUUUCUUAGUGGCGGACGGGUGAGUAACGCGUGGGUAACCUGCCCUUUGCAGGGGGAUAACAGUGAGAAAUCACUGCUAAUACCGCAUACCAACUUCUUUCGCAUGAAGGAAGUUUGAAAGAUUUAUCGGCAAAGGAUGGACCCGCGUUGGAUUAGCUAGUUGGUGAGAUAACAGCCCACCAAGGCAACGAUCCAUAGCCGGUCUGAGAGGGUGAACGGCCACACUGGGGCUGAGACACGGCCCAGACUCCUACGGGAGGCAGCAGUGGGGAAUAUUGCACAAUGGGCGAAAGCCUGAUGCAGCGACGCCGCGUGAAGGAUGAAGGUCUUCGGAUUGUAAACUUCUAUCAGCAGGGAAGAAAGGGCCUAUGGCCUAUGACGGUACCUGACUAAGAAGCCCCGGCUAACUACGUG